rnacentral:rRNA from 1 species
AUUGAACGCUGGCGGCAUGCCUUACACAUGCAAGUCGAACGGUAACGCGGGGCAACCUGGCGACGAGUGGCGAACGGGUGAGUAAUGCAUCGGAACGUGCCCAGUAGUGGGGGAUAGCUCGACGAAAGUCGAAUUAAUACCGCAUACGACCUAAGGGUGAAAGGGGGGGAGUCGCAAGACCUCUCGCUAUUGGAGCGGCCGAUGUCAGAUUAGGUAGUUGGUAGGGUAAAAGCCUACCAAGCCUAUGAUCUGUAGCUGGUCUGAGAGGACGACCAGCCACACUGGGACUGAGACACGGCCCAGACUCCUACGGGAGGCAGCAGUGGGGAAUUUUGGACAAUGGGCGCAAGCCUGAUCCAGCCAUGCCGCGUGCGGGAAGAAGGCCUCGGUU